AAAAAGACAAACCCUGGUUUUCGUGCCCAACGUUUGACCGUCCGUCUUAUUUGAAAAAAAAAGAAAAAAAAUAAAAAGACAAGUCACGCAUAAAAUAUUAAUCAUGUUUUAUCAUCUAACAACAAUGAAAAUACGAAUUAUAAAAAAAUUUCAUAUAAGACGGACAGUCAAAGUUGGACACGGAAACCCAGGGUUUGCCUUUUU
rnacentral:pre_miRNA from 1 species